AGACCGCGCCGGAGGGGACGGCAAUGGCGAAGGCGACGAAUUCUCCUCCUGCAAUUCUGACGAAGACAAUGACGAUGCCUGAUGAUCGAUUCAUGCUGCCGCUCUACUGAUCCUGGUGUUGAUCGAGUUCCAUGUUCCGCUGGAGAUUUGAGCACAGGAGCGUGUCCACCUGAUGACUGAAGUGGACACACAAAUGUCGACUGAAGUUGGAAGCCAUUGAUUCUUUUUUCUGAUCCAUGAGAGUGUUUUUGGUGUCUCAGAGUCCAACAACCUCUGAACCGCAAACCAUGAACUGAUUAUCCUGAUAUUUGGUAAGUUCAACAAGAACCAACUCCUUUUUUUUUUGGUAGUUAUCAUGUGACAUGCUCUUCAUAAUACAUUUUCUGAAAAAAGAGCAUGCUGUUAGUUUGUUAAAAAGGAAAACACCCGCUUCAGUGCUCAGUGUCAGCAUGGUAGCAUUUGAAAAUGUCAGAAAUGUUGAUACCUAGGAGGCAAUGGAGCAGUUCUGCUAGACGAGGGUGUCCUCCUGAAGUACAUCCUGUACCGCCAAGGAAAAAGAUAAUGCCGAGUGAAGUUGGAAUUCAUUAGAUCCUUUUCUGAUCCAGGAGAGAGCUAGUUCGUGAUGGCUUGACAGUCCAAGCACCUCUGAAGCCUGGGGAGAAGACGUGGAAGACGCAAUGGACUACACCACACCGGAUGCUGCUACCAAACUAAGAUGGAGAUGUAAGAUGUUGUUAUGCCGCAAUCACGCCAACUUACCGAGUCCACUGGUGGUGGCCUCUAUAUGCCGCAAAGUGAAGCAGGGAUACAGCCUCUGAUAUUCCUACGCUGCGAAUGUCAGAGUGCAUUGCUCUUUGGGGGCUCAAUAGUCAAUAUAACCGAGGCCAUGAAGCAUGGUACGCCGCCAUUUUGAGAUCUCAGAAGGAGUUUACAAAUGGCAACUGCUGGCCCUGAUGACAACCGGUUCUUAGGGAAUGCAUAGGAUGGAUCAACCUGAUCGGGAGACAUGCAGAUUUUUUCUGAAUACACAUUCUCUUCGUUUACUAGUACUCCCUCUGUUUUUUAGAGAUAAUUUACUAUUAUCCAUUUGUUGCUGCCACUAUAUUUUUGCUUGUUCGUGUACAAAGAAUGAGGGUUGUAUAUGUUGUUAUCCAUGUUGUGCAAAAAUAUGUCGAAGAAAUAAUGCACCAGCUAUAUGUCAUUAACUAUGUCAUUUUCAUUGGUUUCACAUUGCAAA